UACGUAGGUGGCAAGCGUUGUUCGGAUUUAUUGGGCGUAAAGAGCUCGUAGGCGGUUUGUCGCGUCUGCCGUGAAAGUCCGGGGCUCAACUCCGGAUCUGCGGUGGGUACGGGCAGACUAGAGUGAUGUAGGGGAGACUGGAAUUCCUGGUGUAGCGGUGAAAUGCGCAGAUAUCAGGAGGAACACCGAUGGCGAAGGCAGGUCUCUGGGCAUUAACUGACGCUGAGGAGCGAAAGCAUGGGGAGCGAACAGG
rnacentral:rRNA from 1 species